AUGAUCAGUCAUUUGUUUCAGCCGAUCAAUUCCUUCUGUUUUGGAUCUUUUUUCACCUUGCCGAUGAUGCAUUCGGCGGGGUUGCAGAUUCCAGCGGCAUGGCCGAUAUGUGGUGCAUGCAUGGAUGAAUAUCAUCCAUGCAUGCAUUGCGCUGCCUAUGCUUGCAUUUUAGAAGGGAUUGAUCGGUUGAAGUUUUCCUUUCCAUUUUUUUUUCACCUGCCUCUUUGGAGGCAGGGGUGUGAGGAGAGGACGCCGGAGCACUCAGCUACAAAGGUUGAUGCGCUUCCGUUCUCUUCCACAAAUGGAGAAGGUUGA
rnacentral:rRNA from 1 species